GACGAACGCUGGCGGCGUGCCUAAUACAUGCAAGUCGAGCGGACGGAUGGGAGCUUGCUCCCAGACCGUCAGCGGCGGACGGGUGAGUAACACGUGGGCAACCUGCCUGUAAGACUGGGAUAACUCCGGGAAACCGGGGCUAAUACCGGAUAACUCUUUCCCUCACAUGAGGGAAAGCUGAAAGAUGGCAUCUCGCUAUCACUUACAGAUGGGCCCGCGUCGCAUUAGCUAGUUGGUGAGGUAACGGCUCACCAAGGCGACGAUGCGUAGCCGACCUGAGAGGGUGAUCGGCCACACUGGGACUGAGACACGGCCCAGACUCCUACGGGAGGCAGCAGUAGGGAAUCUUCCGCAAUGGACGAAAGUCUGACGGAGCAACGCCGCGUGAGUGAUGAAGGUUUUCGGAUCGUAAAACUCUGUUGUCAGGGAAGAACAAGUACCGGAGUAACUGCCGGUACCUUGACGGUACCUGACCAGAAAGCCACGGCUAACUACGUG
rnacentral:rRNA from 1 species